UACGAAGGGGGCUAGCGUUGUUCGGAAUUACUGGGCGUAAAGCGCUCGUAGGCGGAUAUUUAAGUCAGGGGUGAAAUCCCAGAGCUCAACUCUGGAACUGCCUUUGAUACUGGGUAUCUGGAGUAUGGAAGAGGUGAGUGGAAUUCCGAGUGUAGAGGUGAAAUUCGUAGAUAUUCGGAGGAACACCAGUGGCGAAGGCGGCACACUGGUCCAUUACUGACGCUGAGGUGCGAAAGCGUGGGGAGCAAACAGG
rnacentral:rRNA from 1 species